rnacentral:lncRNA from 1 species
CGAAUUUCAAACAGAAAACGAUUCCGAUUCCGAUUCCGAUUUCACUAUCUUCCUUCUUUCGUUCUUUGUGAGAAUAUAAAUGGAAAUUGGAUUUCAAAUUUGCAGAGAGAAAGAGAGAGAGAGAGAGAGAGAGAGAGAGAGAGAGAGAGAGAGAGAGAGAGAGAGAGAGAGAGAGAGAGAGAGAGAGAGAUUUAGAAAGAAGGAAAGAGAGAGAAGAGUGCGUUUUGCGUUUGUUUGUGUGAUUUGCGAUUUGGAAUAAGAGGGAGAGUUAUAU